AUCUUAUUAGUUUUAUUUUUAAAACAUUAAAUUGCAAAUUUAAAAAUUUUUAUUUAAAAAUAAGAUU
rnacentral:tRNA from 1 species